rnacentral:rRNA from 1 species
GUCCUAUUGAUUAUUUAAUAGGUCUGACCUGCCCAGUGAAAUAUUUUAACGGCCGCGGUAUAUUGACCGUGCAAAGGUAGCAUAAUCAUUAGUCUUUUAAUAGAGGGCUGGAAUGAAAGGUUUGACGAAAAGUUAUCUGUCUCAAUUAUAAAUUUGAAUUUAUCUUUUAAGUUAAAAGACUUAAAUUUAAUUGAAGGACGAGAAGACCCUAUAGAGCUUUACAUUUAAUUUUUUAGAAAUUACUUAGGUUAUAUUUUAUAAUUUUUAAAUAUUAAUUGUUUUGUUGGGGUGACAAAAAAUAUAAAUGUAACUUUUAUUAUAUUAUAUACAUUAAUAUAUGAUUUUUAGAUCCAAAAUUUUUGAUCAUUAGAAUAAGUUACCUUAGGGAUAACAGCGUAAUCUUCCUCCAGAGUUCAUAUUUACGGGAAGGAUUGCGACCUCGAUGUUGGAUUAAGAUAAUAAUUAGGUGCAGUAGCUUAAUUGAUAGGUCUGUUCGACCUUUAAAUUCUUACAUGAUCUGAGUUCAGACCGG